AAUUCUAUAGCUCAAUUGGAUAGAGCGUCAGUUUUCUAAACUGAAGGUUGAAGGUUCGAAUCCUUCUGGGAUUGCAA
rnacentral:tRNA from 1 species